GAUGAACGCUGACAGAAUGCUUAACACAUGCAAGUCUACUUGAUUCUACUUCGGUAGUUGAUGGUGGCGGACGGGUGAGUAACGCGUAAAGAAUCUGCCCUUUAGUUUGGGAUAACCUUUGGAAACGAAGGCUAAUACCGGAUAUUAUGGAGACGUCGCAUGGCGACUCCAUGAAAGCUAUAUGCGCUAGAGGAGGACUUUGCGUCCCAUUAGUUGGUUGGUGAGGUAAUGGCUCACCAAGACCGCGAUGGGUAGCCGGCCUGGGAGGGUGAUCGGCCACAAGGGAACUGAUACACGGUCCUUACUCCUACGGUAGGCAGCAGUGGGGAAUAUUGGACAAUGGGCCACAAGCCUGAUCCAGCAAUUCUGUGUGCACGAUGAAGGUCUUCGGAUUGUAAAGUGCUUUCAGUAGGGAAGAAAAAAAUGACGGUACCUACAGAAGAAGCGACGGCUAAAUAUGUGCCAGCCGCCGCAGUAAGAC
rnacentral:rRNA from 1 species